UCCACGCCGUAAACGAUGUCAACUAGCCGUUUGUGGACUUGAUCCGUGAGUGGCGCAGCUAACGCACUAAGUUGACCGCCUGGGGAGUACGGCCGCAAGGUUAAAACUCAAAUGAAUUGACGGGGGCCCGCACAAGCGGUGGAGCAUGUGGUUUAAUUCGAUGCAACGCGAAGAACCUUACCAUCCCUUGACAUCCACAGAAGAGACUAGAGAUAGACUUGUGCCUUCGGGAA
rnacentral:rRNA from 1 species